UCCUGGAGAUGCCCCACCAGUCCUCCAACCAAAGGGAGUCCGCAGGGCAUUGCGAUUGCUGUGGGAUGGACGUCCACCUCGCAUCUGGAGGAGGUGUGGGCCCUGCUGG
ensembl:lncRNA novel transcript